rnacentral:siRNA from 1 species
UGGUAGUCCAACAAUAGG